rnacentral:rRNA from 1 species
AUUGAACGCUGGCGGCAGGCUUAACACAUGCAAGUCGAGCGGGGGAAGGUAGCUUGCUACCGGACCUAGCGGCGGACGGGUGAGUAAUGCUUAGGAAUCUGCCUAUUAGUGGGGGACAACAUCUCGAAAGGGAUGCUAAUACCGCAUACGUCCUACGGGAGAAAGCAGGGGAUCUUCGGACCUUGCGCUAAUAGAUGAGCCUAAGUCGGAUUAGCUAGUUGGUGGGGUAAAGGCCUACCAAGGCGACGAUCUGUAGCGGGUCUGAGAGGAUGAUCCGCCACACUGGGACUGAGACACGGCCCAGACUACUACGGGAGGUAGCAGUGGGGAAUAUUGGACAAUGGGGGGAACCCUGAUCCAGCCAUGCCGCGUGUGUGAAGAAGGCCUUAUGGUUGUAAAGCACUUUAAGCGAGGAGGAGGCUACUCUAGUUAAUACCUAGGGAUAGUGGACGUUACCCGCAGAAUAAGCACCGGCUAACUCUGUGCCAGCCGCCGCAGUAA